rnacentral:tRNA from 1 species
GGGCGAUUAGCUCAGUUGGGAGAGCACCUGCCUUACAAGCAGGGGGUCACUGGCUCGAACCCGGUAUCGCCCACCA